rnacentral:rRNA from 1 species
AGUGAACGCUGGCGGUAGGCCUAACACAUGCAAGUCGAACGGCAGCACAGUAAGAGCUUGCUCUUACGGGUGGCGAGUGGCGGACGGGUGCGGAAUACAUCGGAAUCUACUUUUUCGUGGGGGAUAACGUAGGGAAACUUACGCUAAUACCGCAUACGACCUACGGGUGAAAGCAGGGGAUCUUCGGACCUUGCGCGAUUGAAUGAGCCGAUGUCGGAUUAGCUAGUUGGCGGGGUAAAGGCCCACCAAGGCGACGAUCCGUAGCUGGUCUGAGAGGAUGACCAGCCACACUGGAACUGAACCACGGUCCAGACUCCUACGGGAGGCAGCAGUUGGGAAUAUUGGACAAUGAGCGCAAGCCUGAUCCAGCCAUACCGCGUGGGUGAUGAAGGCCUUCGGGUUGUAAAGCCCUUUUGUUAGGAAAGAAAAGCAGCAGGUUAAUACCCCGCUGUUCUGACGGUACCCAAAGAAUAAGCACCGGCUAACUUCGUG